rnacentral:rRNA from 1 species
UUCGGCGGGGUGCAAUGUGGUGUUUAGGAGCGGCUAUUCGCGCCUUGAGCUCUUGUCCAAGUCCCCCUGACCGGGGCCAUCGCCCAUUGAGGGUGCAAGGCCUGUUGGGUAGGGCUUAGUCUCUGAUCUCGGCGCGUCUGGUCUCCUCCUCGGAGUCGGGUUGCUUGAGAGUGCAGCCCAAAGCGGGUGGUAAACUCCACCUAAGGCUAAAUACUUGCCACGAGACCGAUAGCAAACAAGUACCGUGAGGGAAAGUUGCAAAGAACUUUGAAGAGAGAGUUCAAGAGUGCGUGAAACCGUUUGGAGGUAAACGGGUGGGAGCUCGAAGGUCGAACGGAUGGGGAGGGAUUCAACUUGGCGAGGCGGCUGGUCGGGCUGGGCGGCGCGUGGGCUUCUCGCCCGGUCGUACUCACAAGGUACGGCCGGGUCGGCUGCCCCGCCGCCUGUCUGCGCCGAGUCCGCUCUUGCCUCGUGCAUUUCCCUGUACCCCCUCUCCCAGUAGAACGCCGUGACCGGCUGUCGAGGGGAGCCCAGGAGCUGGGGGAGGCAGCUGCGCGGUCGAAUGUGGGAUUCGUUCCCUGCGACCGGUCUGUCUGUCCUCUCCCGACCGCGGGUCGCUCCCUCCGGCCGAGGAACUUGAGGCGCCCGAGCCCUUACGGGCUUGGGUCGUCCACAGGCGCGCCCACGAACAUUGCGUUGCGAGUCGAACGAACCCAACGGGUAGCGGCGGACGGCCGCGCGCCAGGUCGAAAGAUCGCGCGCGCGGCCGACCCGUGUCUUGCUGCCGUCUGUCAGGGUGCGGACUCUCGCUUUCGCGGCGCUCGGGGUCGACGGCGAGUAGGUCGGUUUCCCACCCGACCCGUCUUGAAACACGGACCAAGAAGUCUAACGCGUGGGCGAGUCUUCGGGGAUCUCAGUAACCCUAUGAAGGCGCAAUAAAAGUAAAGGCGGUGCUUAACGGCCUGCCUGGGUGGGAUCCCCCGUCUUCACGGCGGGGGCGCACCACCGGCCCGUCCUA